rnacentral:rRNA from 1 species
AGGGAAUCUUCCACAAUGGACGCAAGUCUGAUGGAGCAACGCCGCGUGAGUGAAGAAGGUUUUCGGACCGUAAAGCUCUGUUGUUGGUGAAGAAGGAUAGAGGUAGUAACUGGCCUUUAUUUGACGGUAAUCAACCAGAAAGUCACGGCUAACUACGUGCCAGCAGCCGCGGUAAUACGUAGGUGGCAAGCGUUGUCCGGAUUUAUUGGGCGUAAAGCGAGCGCAGGCGGAAGAAUAAGUCUGAUGUGAAAGCCCUCGGCUUAACCGAGGAAUUGCAUCGGAAACUGUUUUUCUUGAGUGCAGAAGAGGAGAGUAGAACUCCAUGUGUAGCGGUGGAAUGCGUAGAUAUAUGGAAGAAUACCAGUGGCGAAGGCGGCUCUCUGGUCUGCAACUGACGCUGAGGCUCGAAAAGCAUGGGUAGCGAACAGGAUUAGAUACCCUGGUAGUCCAUGCCGUAAAACGAUGAGUGCUAAGUGUUGGGAGGCUUCCGCCUCCCAGUGCUGCAGCUAAACGCAUUAAGCACUCCGCCUGG